AAAUUGAAGAGUUUGAUCAUGGCUCAGAUUGAACGCUGGCGGCAGGCCUAACACAUGCAAGUCGAACGGUAACAGGAAGCAGCUUGCUGCUUUGCUGACGAGUGGCGGACGGGUGAGUAAUGUCUGGGAAACUGCCUGAUGGAGGGGGAUAACUACUGGAAACGGUAGCUAAUACCGCAUAACGUCGCAAGACCAAAGAGGGGGACCUUAGGGCCUCUUGCCAUCGGAUGUGCCCAGAUGGGAUUAGCUAGUAGGUGGGGUAAAGGCUCACCUAGGCGACGAUCCCUAGCUGGUCUGAGAGGAUGACCAGCCACACUGGAACUGAGACACGGUCCAGACUCCUACGGGAGGCAGCAGUGGGGAAUAUUGCACAAUGGGCGCAAGCCUGAUGCAGCCAUGCCGCGUGUAUGAAGAAGGCCUUCGGGUUGUAAAGUACUUUCAGCGGGGAGGAAGGGAGUAAAGUUAAUACCUUUGCUCAUUGACGUUACCCGCAGAAGAAGCACCGGCUAACUCCGUGCCAGCAGCCGCGGUAAUACGGAGGGUGCAAGCGUUAAUCGGAAUUACUGGGCGUAAAGCGCACGCAGGCGGUUUGUUAAGUCAGAUGUGAAAUCCCCGGGCUCAACCUGGGAACUGCAUCUGAUACUGGCAAGCUUGAGUCUCGUAGAGGGGGGUAGAAUUCCAGGUGUAGCGGUGAAAUGCGUAGAGAUCUGGAGGAAUACCGGUGGCGAAGGCGGCCCCCUGGACGAAGACUGACGCUCAGGUGCGAAAGCGUGGGGAGCAAACAGGAUUAGAUACCCUGGUAGUCCACGCCGUAAACGAUGUCGACUUGGAGGUUGUGCCCUUGAGGCGUGGCUUCCGGAGCUAACGCGUUAAGUCGACCGCCUGGGGAGUACGGCCGCAAGGUUAAAACUCAAAUGAAUUGACGGGGGCCCGCACAAGCGGUGGAGCAUGUGGUUUAAUUCGAUGCAACGCGAAGAACCUUACCUGGUCUUGACAUCCACGGAAGUUUUCAGAGAUGAGAAUGUGCCUUCGGGAACCGUGAGACAGGUGCUGCAUGGCUGUCGUCAGCUCGUGUUGUGAAAUGUUGGGUUAAGUCCCGCAACGAGCGCAACCCUUAUCCUUUGUUGCCAGCGGUCCGGCCGGGAACUCAAAGGAGACUGCCAGUGAUAAACUGGAGGAAGGUGGGGAUGACGUCAAGUCAUCAUGGCCCUUACGACCAGGGCUACACACGUGCUACAAUGGCGCAUACAAAGAGAAGCGACCUCGCGAGAGCAAGCGGACCUCAUAAAGUGCGUCGUAGUCCGGAUUGGAGUCUGCAACUCGACUCCAUGAAGUCGGAAUCGCUAGUAAUCGUGGAUCAGAAUGCCACGGUGAAUACGUUCCCGGGCCUUGUACACACCGCCCGUCACACCAUGGGAGUGGGUUGCAAAAGAAGUAGGUAGCUUAACCUUCGGGAGGGCGCUUACCACUUUGUGAUUCAUGACUGGGGUGAAGUCGUAACAAGGUAACCGUAGGGGAACCUGCGGUUGGAUCACCUCCUUACCUUAAAGAAGC
rnacentral:rRNA from 1 species